UGUAAUAAAUAGGUUCGUGAAAAUAAGCCCUUUGUUUCUUAACCCUUUGCCCUCAAGAGGCGACAAUGGCUACACCGUUUCAUACGGCAACUCAAAUGACAAGAAGUGUGAAAUGUCACACUUUGAAAUGGAGAUAAGAUAUUUAGUCUUGAACUCGUCCAAAACCAUGGUUCUGACGUCUCCUACAUUAAUUCAGAUUCAACGAUAAUGGUAGUAUAGCUUAGAAGCCCUAAAAAAUGGAUUUUGGGAAAUGAAAUUUGCUCAACUGAAGAUGAAUUUGAUUUUGAAUUGUUGAAAGACGAGAUCGAUUGUAUCCAUGAAGGAAUUAUUGAUAAAGAAAAUGAAAGCAAUGAUGGAGAUAUAGUGACAUAGUAUUAAGUGUAAGAAAUCGAAAGAUUAAAAUAAUAGAUAGUAAAUCCAAAAGUGACAGUGAUACCCCACAAGAUCCUAAUAAUUCAGAAUGGACACCUUUUAAAGAAUCUAGUGAAAUACCACCAAGAAUAAAAUUCAUAGCCGAUGGAAUACCUGGAAGGCCAUAGGUGGUAUCCUCAAAUGUUGAACUGUUGAAUUUUUUAAAGAUAUUUCUUACCGAUAAAACAAAUAAUAACUGAAACAAAUGGUUAUACUGCAAAAAAGAAGAUAUAAGAGGGAGAACAUUAUUAUAACAUUCAAUUUGGCAAAUAUGACAUAAUGUCACCAAAGAAGAAUUUUGGCCAAAGCAAAGAUGCAUCUUGGUGAAUGCUUUAUAAAUUAUUAUACAAAAAAAUACAGAAAUUAAUAUUACAAAAUCAUUAAGAUUAAAAAAGUCAUUAAGCGCAAAGGGUUAAAAUAUUGAACGUGUAUCUGACAAAACUGAAACUUGAUGAAAUUGAGAAA
rnacentral:misc_RNA from 1 species